UGGGCAGGGACUGUGGGCUGCAAUUAGUGCACUCUCCCAUAAAGUUCCCUGAAACAUGAAGUUGGGAAAGAUGGGCAGUUGUGUUUCAUCUUUACAGUUAAAAAUAACAACAAUCAGCUUCCCUACAUUU